rnacentral:rRNA from 1 species
UACGAAGGGGCUAGCGUUGCUCGGAAUCACUGGGCGUAAAGCGCACGUAGGCGGAUCGCUAAGUCAGGGGUGAAAUCCUGGAGCUCAACUCCAGAACUGCCUUUGAUACUGGCAAUCUCGAGUCCGGGAGAGGUGAGUGGAACUGCGAGUGUAGAGGUGAAAUUCGUAGAUAUUCGCAAGAACACCAGUGGCGAAGGCGGCUCACUGGCCCGGUACUGACGCUGAGGUGCGAAAGCGUGGGGAGCAAACAGGG